CUUUUCAAGAUAUUCAGCCAAAUUCAGAUGAAUCAUCACUGCCUAUCAUAGCAAUGAAAUACGCAGAUACACCCAUAGAUCCACAUCCCAGCAUCAAAAGAAGAAAUGAAACAAGAACAAAGGACUUAGCAGGCAAAUGGAAUGAUUCAGAGACUGCCUCAAGAACCCAUGAUGAGCAGGAACUGAGGAAUGAUUCUUAUCAUCUGUCAGAAGGACGAAGGAGAAAAAGCAAGUCCACAGCAGAAGCCCCACAGAUCAGAAAUGUCCGGUCCAAUUUCUGCAAUCUGUUUUAAUCAACAUCUGAAUGUUAAAGUUGAAGAGUACAAGUGUCCUUUUGUCAUGUUAUGUUUUUGCUGUGAUUCUUCUGGAGUUCUGACAUCAUGUACAGUGUGUGCUCUGAAACUGGUUGUAGCAAUAAUGAGAUGAGUGCUGACAUUUCCAUGCCCUAUGGUGUCUGAAUAUGUCACAUUUAGCUGUUUAAGAGAUUGGGUGUUAUUUCUUGUCUUAUCCUAAAGUGUGUACUGUUUGCAUUCCAUAAAGUUCAGCUAUAAACUUGAGCCCUGUAAUGAUGCUAAGGAUUCUGACAGAAGAUGAACUCAAGAGGGAGAAAGGACGUUCCUGGUAAUAUCACCACUAGUAAUAUUAAAACAACAACAAGCCCAGAACAGACCUAAAUGUCAGAAUGAAGGUCUGCCUGGUGCAAGGAGCCUGGCAUCUUUUCACCAGGCUCUCAAACGCAGCCUUGAAAGUGCCCAUUUCUGAGUCCCCUGCUAAAAAAGCUCCAGCCGGGUAGCUGGCCAGGCUGGGCUGCUGUAAUGCAGACCACGCUUGUCCUUCACUGCUAGCCUCUCCUCCAGUCUUAGCUAUUUUGCUCCAUCUGACCCAUAAUAGACUCUGCAUGUCAUUGGAUAAUGUACUUUGUGCAGAAGUUGCCCAAGAAUCUUCAGUGACCCUUGCCUGAUCCUGUAGUGGUUGAGUGCAAUGAGUUGAAGUUGAGAGGUCCAGGCUUGUUUCUUCUUCAGAAUGAGAGGAAGAGGAUCUGAGUCUGGAGUGGGUUCUGAAAUUGUGAAGGUAUCUCAGAACAUGGUGUUAAGAAGGCAUCCCUUUCAGAUUCCUUUCCUGAUGAAAGACAACUGAGUCCCUGAGAUAAGAUGGACUAAAAUUCUGACCUAUUUAUGCUAAUCAUGGUUAUGGAGAUAGAUGUAUCUGCGUAGGGUUCUGAAUUUGGACUUGACUGAAAUGGCCCUAAGGAGAAUCUCUUAACUAUGAAUGCUUUAAAAGGACUGGACAGUC
rnacentral:lncRNA from 1 species